rnacentral:rRNA from 1 species
GACGAACGCUGGCGGCGUGCUUAACACAUGCAAGUCGAACGAAGUGGCGAACGGGUGAGUAACGCGUAAUCAACCUGCCCUUCAGAGGGGGACAACAGUUGGAAACGACUGCUAAUACCGAAUACUGAUGGAGGGGAUUGCGUCUGAUUGGCGGGUUGGAGGGGUAACGGCCCACCAAGGCGAUGAUCAGUAGCCGGUCUGGGAGGAUGAACGGCCAAAGUGGGACUGGGACACGGCCCAGACUUCUACGGGAGGCAGCAGUGGGGAAACUUCCGAAAUGGAGGAAAGGCUGACGGAGCAACGGCGCGUGAGUGAUGACGGCCCUCGGGUUGUAAAGCUAUGUUAAUCGGGACGCGGUACCGGAAUAGAAAGCCACGGCUAACUCCGUGCCAGCAGCCGCGGUAAUUC